UCAGAAUCAACGCUGGCGGCGUGCCUAACACAUGCAAGUCGAACGCGAAAGUGGCUUCGGCCGCGAGUAGAGUGGCAAACGGGUGAGUAACACGUGGGUGACCUGCCUUCGAGUGGGGGAUAACGUCUCGAAAGGGGCGCUAAUACCGCAUAACAUCCUGCCUUUAAACAGGUGGAGAUCAAAGCCGGGGACCGCAAGGCCUGGCGCUUGGAGAGGGGCCCGCGCCGGAUUAGCUAGUUGGUGAGGUAACGGCCCACCAAGGCGACGAUCCGUAGCCGGCCUGAGAGGGCGGACGGCCACACUGGGACUGAGACACGGCCCAGACUCCUACGGGAGGCAACAGUGGGGAAUUGUUCGCAAUGGGCGCAAGCCUGACGACGCAACGCCGCGUGGAGGAUGAAGAUCUUCGGAUCAUAAACUCCUGUCGAGUGGGACGAACGGCCCGGGACCUAACACGUUCCGGGAGUGACGGUACCGCUAAAGGAAGCCCCGGCUAACUCCGUGCCAGCAGCCGCGGUAAUACGGGGGGGGCCAGCGUUGUUCGGAAUUACUGGGCAUA
rnacentral:rRNA from 1 species